ACUGCCAGGGAGCACUUAGGAACUGCAGAGGAGAUGGGCUGAAGGUUGCUGAAGUCGCCUUGGUCUUCGCUCUGUAAAAAACCUGACUAACAAUUCCGACACAAUUUUCAUGCAGUUUCAAAUCAAGUGUACAGCAGCUGUUCAUUUUUCUGCGAUAAAUCACCGUUUCUUGACAUUUGGAAACUCAGGAGGCCCCAAAAAAAAGAGGGGAAAAAGUGCUUAGGGUAGAUUCUUUUUAUUUUUAAUUAUUUAACGCUUUCAGAUGCUCGGCCCCAGAGGUGUGUCGACACCACAAAUGGUGCAAGGACGGCCUGGCCAAAGCGAGAUCCAGGGGAGGCUGCCGGCUGUCGCCCUCCUCCCCCAGCUGCAGAUGGGCCCGAAGCUGCCAUGCGGGGGACCUGGGGCAGGGUGGGAGAAGGGGCAGGCUUGUCCCUGCUGCUUCUCCAGGGACGCUGGCCCCAAAAGAGCCCUACAUCCUGGCCCCAGGGCACCAGUUCCAUUCCUCCGUAAAAUGCAAAGGAUUGGGUGCCUGAUCCUGAUUUCACGGCUGCAAAACGUCUAGCACGGCUGAAAUCCAUGACUGCACGCUCCUUGCUUUCACCCACUGACUUUAACGAAGCUCUUGGCGAUUAAUAGCGGGGGCAAAGGAAAGAACGAGUGUCUCAGCAACAUCAGGGGAAUUCACAGCGACCUCUGCCCUCAUUGCACCUCUGGGGAAGGCAGCAGAAAGAAGUGCCGGGCACGGAUCCGCAGCAGCACGGGAGGGGAACAAGCCUGGAGCUGCGAGGGAACGUUCCUGCCUCCGACACAACAAAAUGGGAGCGGGCUGUUUGUUUUCCCUGAUGCUAAUAAUCGCGGUGCUAGGCUUGUCAUCGCCAGCAUUGCUUCCUUCCCCAACAUAAACUACUGUGUUUCAAAAAGGGGCCUCUUGAUUGUUUUUAUUUACGUGCAGGGAUGGGAUUUCAAGCUGUUCUCUACUGCCCUGCGAGCUGGGCCCGCUCUGGGGAGAUGAGUGGGGAGAUCUGCUUGUCUGUCCAAAGGAGGGGAUGGCAGGGGGCUGCGUACUGCGGAGGAGGCAGGAGGGGAUGGCAGGAGACAGACAAAGGAGAGGCGAGUGAAGGAGGAUGUCUCUUGCCUGGAGAGCACGCGUGUAAACCCCUGGGUUUACACCCAAGCACGUCAACCCGAGAUCUGAACUGAAAUGCAACCAGGGAGGCAGCAGCAGCGUCUGUCCCACCCAGCCCGGAGGAACACGCAGCUUUUGUGUGGGAGGGCAGCGGGGAGAGGAGCAGAGCUGUGUCCCGGCGGGCUUUAACCGGGGAAGGGCAGUCCCUGCCCUGCAACUGGAAAGCUUUCAGGCCAUAUAUUCCGCGUGGUGGCCUGGAGAGGGCCGGGGAGGAUGCAGAAAGGCAGGACGGAGGUGGAAAAUCUGGAGCGCAACUCUUUCGCCUCUAAGUAGGUGUAGUUUAACCACCAGCGCUCCCAUUUCAAAGCCGUGUCGAGCUGCACACUGAGCCCCUGGAGCCCCAGUGCUGUGCAGGGCACCCGACCUCCCCUCCGCUGCCUGCUCUGCGCGGUUAGGGCAAUCCUG